UACAGAGGAUGCAAGCGUUAUCCGGAAUGAUUGGGCGUAAAGCGUCUGUAGGUGGCUUUUUAAGUCCGCCGUCAAAUCCCAGGGCUCAACUCUGGACAGGCGGUGGAAACUACCAAGCUGGAGUACGGUAGGGGCAGAGGGAAUUUCCGGUGGAGCGGUGAAAUGCGUAGAGAUCCGGAAGAACACCGGUGGCGAAGGCGGUCUGCUGGGCAGUUGCUGACACUGAUGCGCGACAGCGUGGGGAGCAAACAGG
rnacentral:rRNA from 1 species